rnacentral:sRNA from 1 species
CCUGCGACGCAACAUAAACC